AACCUAAUCAAACAGAAUAGAAAUAGAAAAAAAAAAAAAAUGAGGAAGAUGGGGCAACAAAAAGGCGGGCGUACACGCAUUCGGAGCUCCCUUGCUCAGCGCUGCUUCUUCUCUACGAUUCUAAAUCCUUCUAUCCGGUCCACUACCGUAUUCUAAUCUUCCCCUUCACUAAUCCUUCCUUUCCUAGAUAAACCAAUCUUCUUUCAUGGCGAAUAGUGGCGAAGAUCCGACCCGGACAAUUAACCCUUCGCAAUUUCACUUUCAGUUGCUUCACUCUCAUUCUCACUUUCAUAAUCAGAAUUUAUUUUCUUCUUCACAUAAUUCAACGCCUUCAAAUCGACACUUCCUUCCUCUUUCCGUAAACCUCACCACUCGCCUGUCCCUCCUCCUCCUCCUCCUGUUAACAAUAACACUUUUCUCGGCUUUCAAUUCCAGUUCCAACACGCACUCUGCAUUCCGUGAAGUCGCGUUGGGGACGAAAAGUGAAGGUGAUAAUCCUUAGUUUCAGACUGCUAGAGAUACAGCCAUGAACCAUCCGUGCGCAAAGUGAUAUAGUUACUGAUCAAACACUUGUUACUUGCUCUCUAGUCAUCUUCUGGGGGUAAGCGUAGAAGUAAGUCAAGGGUUCCGAAACAUGGCGAAUCAAUGACUGAAAGAUUGAAUGCUGAUUCUCUGAAUUCAGCUACGACGUAAAAGCUCUCUACGCUUGUUUACCAAGAAAUUUGUCAAGUUGAUCUAGGAGGCUCAGGAUGGGACACUUGAUCUGAAAAAGACUGUAGGAGUGUUGGGGGUUAUGGAAAAGGAAAAUGUUAUGUGCCAUGCACACAUGCUGCUAAAUAAGAAAAUUGAAUUGCUCACGCUGGAGGGUUCACAUAAGGGGAUAUGUUGAUUUUGAGCAAAAGAUAAUGGAUAAUCAUGCUGGAAUAAAGGUAUUUAUGCUGCCAUUAUAUGUUUUUCAUAAGUUGGAUGCUUUAUGUUGGUUUCAUUCUUGCUGCACUGAUGACUUGUACACAUACAAAAUGGAUCGGUAGCAUUGUUGCAAACAAGCAGGCAUAGCAUUUGUUUGAAUUUCACAAAAUUCAAGAUUCAAAUUCAACUUUUUUUAUGUGCUCUAGAUAUGGGUGUUGCUACAGUUUUCUUAGUUUUUAGGUUGUCAAUUUGAAUUUAAAACCAAGUUUUUGCAGCUGAAAAGUUGCUGGAGAAUGUUAUGAUUUAAGUGGUCAUAUUUCUAGGAAGUGAAAACUGGUUGUUGGCUUUUAUGGGCUGGAUGCUUUCAUUGUGCUGUAUGAUUUAAGUGGUUACAUAUUUCAGGGAAUAAUGAGCUGACAUUAAAUGACCUGAAAUUUCACUCAUUAGGAUUGAAUGUUGUGGAUUCCUGAUGAAUUGUCAGUGUGUGGAAGAUGCAGUGAGCAUGUAAUGAUCUGUAUAUACAACAUAAAAGAUAAGUGAUACUCUGUAGUAAAAGGACCAUCCAUCAGUUGACUUUUCAGCUUUCCAAUGUUUAAGAGGUAACACUAUAACAUGUACUAAAUCAUUGGUCUUCAUACCUGUUUAUCUUUUGAGAUGAUUACAGGCUGAAGUUGAAAGUUUAUAUACUGAAGAGUUCAGACUCUAUUAAUCUAUAAGGGAUAGAUGAGAACUUCUGGGAGGCCUGAAGGAAGAUGUGUGUCGUGAAAAUUAUCUCGUUGUAAUGGAAGAAGAUAUUAGCAGCCUUUCAUGCUUCCAGGAUAUUGGUUCCCCUCGAUACAAAAUGACUGUUGGAAACACCGAUGGAUCCAUUGAUGUGUAUUCACAACAGAUACGCAGUUUCUUAACGCCCACUUAUUGAUGCUUUUAGCAAAUCCAAACAAGGCAAGGAUGUAACUGUUGAGCAUGUUGAAUCAAUGGAUCCAACUGCUCGGAACAGUAUUCAAUGCAGAGAGCAAGAUGCAGUGUUGUCUUCAGAGUGUCAGGGUAGCAAAAACAGUCGUGAGACAUUCAGCUCACUAACUUUAGAAGCAUCUGGGAUUUAUAAGUUAAUUCCUAGACCAUGCAAAUUAAGCAUUGGAAGCUUCAAAUUUGCUUCAUAACAGUUCACUAAUAUUUAGUUUUGCUCCUGCACAUAGACUUCUAUACGCGUUUUUUGGCGUUUGGUUAUAUGGGAGGGAAACUUGACUAACCUGUUUGCAUGGGAUCCAUACUGUUGCAGGCUAUUGAUUAUUAUUGGUUCCCAACAGAUGAUUCAGUCAGCGUUUCAGAAUUGUGGUUUUAUAGGUUCUCUUAACACUUUGUUUGAUUCAUUAAGUUCUGGUUUUUGAAAUAUCUGGAUCUGCCAUGAGGAAUCUGGGGGCGUAACUUUAUCAUUGCUGACCUUCAUAUUGUUUAUCACAUGCUAUACCACUGACAUCGAGGAUUUUUUUCCUCUUGGAUGGCCUCUUUGUCGCUUCUGCAAUGAACGUCAAGAGAAGUUCAUUGUAAAUGAAAAUCAGGCAGUAGGCCGUUCAAGAUGCCCGGAAGGCUAAUUUUAUAUCCCCUCCACUUUUGCAAGUCUAAAUUUUACAGCUGGAUUUUUUUUCUCCCUUUAAUGGCAAUGAUAUUAAUUUUUUAAAAGAUUAGUGACUAUGUUGGCGCUGCCCAACAGAAUCUAAUCAUCAUGCAACGCCAUGUGAAGGACCGUAUCUCGGCCUUGGAGAUUCAAGAGCCAGUGGGCGUUUAAACAUCUAGCUGCUCGUGUUGAUCAGCUACCAAUCCUUGUUGCAAAUAUGGGCCAUUUUCUCCACGGCUCUGGUGUUGAUGGGUCAUAAUUUAAUAGCUGAGGGUGUGGCUCCUGGGCUCUCGCAUCCGUCAGCAGCCUCACCUUUGUAAUUAUCACUGAAUUGCGCAAAAAUUCAUUUAGUUUUCAUGCCAUAUUCUGAAGAAUUUCCAUAUCCUGAUUACUCCUCUUCUGGGGUAACAAUUGAGAGCAGAUUAUUCUUAUCAAGAUUAAAGCUUACAUC